UUAUCAGUGCACGAUUACUCGUACGAUGCAUCAUACUUACAUUUCUUAGAUCGAGUAGAGACAGGUGUUGUAAUUACACAUCGGAUGGAUCAUUCAAAAAAGGGAAUGAAACGAAAAGAGUUUCUUCUUCGUCGAGUUAUUAAGAAAAAGAUAAAUAUUUUAAUAUUGUUGAAUUAGUGUAUAAAUUAACGUUCUUACUCAUGCUGUAAUAGUGUCGUUACGCAUAUGUUGUGAUUCAUGCUAUUUUACUUGUUACUAUCUCUUAUCACGUCUAAAAUUCACGAGAACUACUACAUCGUGCUUGUGAUGAUCAAAAAUAUCGAUUGAUUAAUAAUUUUGCAUCUCUGUUCACCGGGCGAAAAAAGCAAGCGUACCUCUUUGCCUAACCUUUAAAAGGAAGAUGGACAUGGAUCUUAAUUAAAAUGUGAAACGAGAAAAAAGAAAAAGAAAAAUAUUUGUCUCCGCGUUGCUGCAUGGAUUGUACAGAUCUUCGUGGUGAUAAAGUACGGUGCAUCGAUGAAACGUAUAAACGGAAUUUUUAAGGUUAUUGAGCGGUUACAGGGGAUUAAUCACCAGGGAUAAAUUUAGAGAGAAACCAGGUUUAUCGGUUUAGAGCUGACUAGAAGUUUAAGAAUUCACAAGUUUAUUUUAUCAAUUUUCUUUUAUCCUUAUAUUAUAAAGAAUUUCAUUCAUUAAUAUUAAAUCAUUAUUUACACACGAAGAAAUUAUUGUAAAUAAAUGACAAUGUUACUUUUUUAUAAGAAAAAUUUUUCUUAUCAGUUCCGGUUGUUAUAUCGGUUAUUAUACAUUGUGUGAUUUAUUGUUGAGGCAUUUAAAUACAUAUUUAUCUUCAUUUUAUAAUUCUCUCAUCGAAAAAAAAGUAAAAUUAUCUUGCAAAAA